rnacentral:lncRNA from 1 species
AACAUUAUUGUGUAUUUGUCAUUAUUUAAAAAAAACUUAAUAUUUACAUGACUUUCUCUUUCAGCAAGGAAUGUGAUAACAACGAACUGCAACAAAAAUUGGCCAAGACCAUUUUGGAAAUUAUGAAUUAUAAUGGGAAGCCCCAAUGUGUCAGACACUCCCCAAAGUGGAAGACGACUCAUCUAGCGACAGUGGUGGCAAGUCUCUUUAAGCUAUAAACCUGAAAUUAUCGAAGACAUCUUGUCUAACGAGAAUGGUAAGUUUCUUCACUUUAUUUUUGUUCCUGCUGAUUUCAUAUUGGAGGAACAGUGAGAGUCAAUAC